ACCUCUCGGGGUGCUACACGAAAGUAGCUGAGAAGGCCAAAAAAGCCUACCCGUUGAACUUGAACCGGAUCAUACCGGCGUAAGGAAGAGACU
rnacentral:ncRNA from 1 species